CCCUUAGAUGUUCGGGGCCGCACGCGCGCUACACUGAAGUGAUCAACUGGUACGUUUCCUGGUCUGGAAAGAUCGGGGAACCCGUUGAACCUCCUUCGUGCUAGGGAUUGGGGCCUGCAAUUGUUCCCCAUGAACGAGGAAUUCCCAGUAGGCGCGAGUCAUCAGCUCGCGUCGAUUACGUCCCUGCCCUUUGUACACACCGCCCGUCGCUACUACCGAUUGGAUGGUUUAGUGAGACCCUUGGACUGGUCCCGUGGUGGUGGUUCGCCACUGCUGCGUGUGUGCCGGGAAGAAGGUCGAACUUGACUAUCUAGAGGAAGUAAAANUCGUANCA
rnacentral:rRNA from 1 species